ensembl:lncRNA
UUCAGCCUGGCAAGCGUUGCCAUGGCAGCGCCGCGGGCUGGGAUUCGGGAGGCCGAGCGCGCCGCCCCGCUCGCCUCUUUGUGCCGCGGGGGUGUCGGUGCGCUCCCCCCACAUCCGGCCGUACCCGCUACUUAGACCCCGACCCCGGGACGGGGUGAAGGCAGCUACAAAGACUACGCCGGCUGCGCUCGGGGGACCGGAGGGAGGGAGGCUGCGGACGAGGGCGGGGAGGAGUUUGCGAUGGGAGGCGCCUGCAGGGGCUCCCCCAGUUCUGCGCUGUGAGCCGGGGCACAAAGAGCUCUCUGCACUGGCGCCGCAAGACCGCGGACCCGAGGAGAUCAGUUUUGGCAAAUGCUGUGAUUUCGGAACAGAGGCUGACAUCUACUCUCCAGCGCACCCACGGCUACAUUUCCCACCCCAUCUUUCCUUCUCUCGAUGACAGCCGGAGGCAUCUCCCUGCCUAACCCGUGUGGUUCCAGACAUUCACGUGGCCGCCACGACCCCACCAGCAUCGAAGGAGUAACCAAGAGUGCAAGCAAGUUUCUGAGACAGAGGAGAAGGAAGGGAAUUUCCGGGUUCUUGGAGAUGUUCAGGACCACACUGGGAAGCAGCCUUGCAGAUAAGUAUUCCAGCUUCCCAGCCCACAGCCUACCAGCCUGCCCUCUCCUGCCCUCUACUGGUCUGUGGAGCAAAGUACAGCAUCCCUGAAUCCCCAAAUCCAGGGAGAAAUCAGCGCUCCAGCUCAUUCGCUUUCCUAUGCCUAAGAUACAAAGAAAAAGCUUGUCCCCAUUUUGUGGGGCCCCAGAGAGUAAUUUUCCUACCCUACUUUUGACAUCAAGGCUAGUAUUUUACAAACUCCACCCUCAGGGACUUCUGGGGAGCUGAGUUGAGUAGCUUCAUCUUGCGCACCUGUAGAUCUGGUGUCAGGAGGAGCCUGGGGACUCCUGGUGAUUUGGGCUGGCCCUUCCCUUAUUGGUUCUUGUCCUCUGUCAUCAUAUUUAUAAAACUUGGCUAGGUCUCCUUUUCUUGCCUGGCAGUCAAGUGGGGACCUUGGCACUGUGACCCCAGGGCGCAUGCUUCUUGGUUUAAGGGUCUGAGCACGUCUCCAGCUCUGGGCCCGGGCCCCCAAGUCCAAGUGCUGACAGCAGGCUCUGAAGAUACGGUGAACGGGCCCAGGCCUGCCUGUGGAUGAAGAUAACUCUGCUGCUGUUUGCUGUUUAGUCCCUAAGUCAUGUCUGACUCUUCGCCAUCCCAUGGACUGUAACUCCUCUGUCCAUGGGAUUUCCCAGGCGAGAACACUGGAGUGGGUUGCCAUUCCCUUUUUCAGGGAAUCCUCCUGACCCAGGGAUCAGACCUGCAUCUCGUCUCCUGCGUUAGCAGGCGGAUUCUUCACCACUGAGCCACCGGGGAAGCCCUAAGAUAGCUUCGCUGUCACUGGAAGAGAAGCCUGGGAGGUGGUCCUGGCUCAGGAUCUGGGGCAUCCUCUGGUCUUCUCCACACUGGAGACACGGGGAUUUUGCUAAAGAGCCCCAGCCCACCAUCUGGCUCCCCACCUUUUCUUUUUCUGGGGCAUCAGAAAAGAGGAUAGGGGAUGAGGGUGGGGGGGUGUUGAGCAGAAAGAUAACUGAGGUUGGGCCUUCUGCUUCCCAUCCUCUGUCUCAAACUGAGGGUGGUUACUGCACUUUAGGUGAAUGUCUGGACUGGGAGGACCCUGGGACCCAGAGGGAGGGGCCGCCGGUCCAGCAUGACACGGGAUGGCAGAGCUGGGAUAAGAUGUCCGGCUUCUCGCCCUGCUCCAUGCACUCACUCAAGCUGAGCUUGCCCUGCUCUCUCUGGGGUCCCAUGCUGCUGUUGGCAGGGAACAGGGAGGUGUUCUGGAAAGCGAAAGGUUUUCUAGGGUGGGGGGAAGGGGGGUGGGGGUGGUGCGCCUGGGCCCAGCCUCCCUGGGUCCCAGGCCAGGGCUGUCUCCUUAGCAGAGAGGUCUGGCCCGGGCUAGGGAGGGGGCCUGGGUGUGGUUUUCUCCUGUGUUGCGGUUGGCUCUUUUGUCUUCCAGGAUGGGCCUGUGGGGGUCUCCGUGGGGUAGGAGCUGGGAUCAGGGCACUGCCAGGUCCACGGCACAGAUUUCAGCACGUGCCUUCAUUCAGCGCAGAUGUGGACUGAGCACCUUCUCCUGGAUAGAAACUGAGGAUUCGGAGGUCAACGUGAGAUGUGGUCCUGCCCUCUCAGAUCUUCGUGCAGCGCUGCCCCGGCUGUGUCUCUAGGACUCCUGGCCCGCCCUCCUUCUGGACUCUGGCAGUGGUGAUACAGGGAGCAGUCUUCGCUGGUUUUCUGGAACCCUGGACAGCUCCCCGAAGAUCUCAUCCUUCCUAACUCCUGGGCCUCCCCUGGAUAAAGGCCCCUCCUGGUUGGUGCUCGGCUGAGGACAGUGGUGGAGCGUGAGGGAGGCUGGCAGCCUACCAUCCAUCCCCUCUGCAUCUGCCUGGACCUGCCUGCCUGUCCCCACCUCUGUCCAGGACUGGGGGCCCUUCCUGACCCUGUGAAGACCUCACUGCUCCUCCCAUCCCCGCCGGUGACCGGGUGGAGCUCGGCCUGGGCCCAGGCCCAACUGACCACACCCUUGGCAAGGCUGGGUCUCACAGGACCUGCAGGAUGGGGGCAGGAACCUGUGGAUGGGCGUCAGGGACGAGCUGCCAGUGGGGUGGAGGGGGGACGAAGCUCGGGGCGUUGGUGGGCUGGAGUCUGUCUUAUGCUCUUUAUGUGUGAGUGAUUCUCAUUUUUCUGGAGGCUUCUGGGGUUCUUCUUCCUAGCUUCUUUCCCUGAUGGUCACCAGGAGGAGGCAGUCUAGGCCUCAGGGGAGCUUGGGCCUUCCCCUAAUGCUGUGGAGCUCUGGGAGAGGUUAUCCUGAAAGGAGAGGGUUUCCAAGAGAGGAGAAGACCCCAGCCAGGGGGCUUGUGAGGGAGACAGACCCUGGGCCUGGCUCCUGACAUCCAAAGGGAAUAGUCUGGAAUCAGCCUCACCCUGGCCCAGUCUCAGACUCCUGCUCCUGGUCACCCUCAUCCCUGGGAAGCAGAGGUGGGCAGGGUAGGCUACGCACAGGGACAGCUUCCCCAUCACAGGGUGGUGGGCUCGCUCACAUGCCCUCCCCUUCUCCAGUCCCCCCGGGGGGCCAGCCUCAGUGCUUGCAGGAGGGUGGCUAUGGCCUUCCCUGGAGAAGCUCAAGAGCCUGAUGUCCUUUUCCUGGGGCAGGAAGGGACGCUGCCAUAACGGAACUCCACUCCUGGAUGGCUGAACUGCAGAAAUGUAUUUUCUUAUAGUUCUGGAGGCUGGAAGUCCAAGACCAAGGUGGCAGGGAUGGUUUGUGGUGAGCCAUAGCUCCCUGGCCGGCAGAUAGAACCUUCUUGCUGUGUUCUCACAUGGCCUUCUCUCUGCAUACGCAGAGAGAGUGUGUGUGAGAGGAGAGAAAGAGAUAUCAGGCAUCUCUUCCCUUUCCUAUAAGGGCACUGGUCCUAUGGGAUUAGGGCCUCAUCCUUAUGACCUCAUUUAGCCUUAAUACCUAUGCCAAAGCCCUACCUCCAAAUAUAGUCACACUGCGGCUGUGAAUUUAGAGGGAGACACAAUUCAGUCCAUAGCAGGUGGUCACCACAAACCUGGAAGCUAGAGCCAUCUCCCCUUUAGAAUUGCCACCCCCGAUGGGGAGGGGAAGGAGAAGCAGAGACAUGGGAAGCAGAAACGGUGCGGCAGGUCCUGUGCGAGGUGGGCCCUGGGAGCCUGGGAGAGACACGGGACUGGCCGAACCCAGAGCAGUGGAGAGGAGCCCCCGGGAGAGGAGGGUCCUGUGAAGAGCCUGGGCUUUGGAGCCUGAGGGUUAUGCUCUGAGGUGCAACCUUGGGCAAGUCACGUCACCCCUGUGAGUCCGAUUGCCACGCUGAAGCAGGAACCAUCAGCUCACCCGGGGGCGGGGCACAGGGAGAAGUCAGUGAGGUCUCGCGGCUGGCACAGCGCCUGACUCUUAGUAGGUGCUCAGUAAACACUCCCGUCCGUCUGGGAGUUUGGACUUAGGGCUUCUCUCUUUUGGGCACCCUGGACUGUAAACUCUGCAUCUUUGAUCCAGAGGCGUUUCUGACCAGUGCUUUCCCAGCUCUAUCUUUUUGUUUGUUUGUUUUUGGCUAUAUGGGGUGGCAUGUGGGAUCUUAGAUCCUGGACAAGGGGUCGAACCUGUGCCCAUGGUGCUGAGCGUGCAGUCUUAACCCCUGGACUGUCAGGGAAGCCUUUCCCUCUUAUGUUUUUAAUAUCCCUUUCUAAUCAGGUCAAGGAAUCCACUGCCUGGCAUGGCCUCCACAGUAGCUCUGAAUGCUUCCUGGGGAAUUUAGUAUCUACCCGUCUCAUCAGAAUUGAGCACCUGCUGUGAGUCCUUCCCUGUGCUGCUCAUUUGAGGGGGACAGAAGUACAGAUAUGGCCGCGAUUCAAGCCGGCAGGGUUUCACAGCCAUGCCAAGUGGAGGAAACCAGUCCACACAGAGAAUGAGCGGAUGGGCAGAAAACAGUCUCCUGAGGCACAGGUUCUAAGGGCACCCCAGUGGGUGGGAGGGAGGGAGAGCCCAGAGUAGGCUGGAAAGGCUUCCUAGGGAGGCAGAACUAGUCAGGACUUUGGGAGGAUGAGAAAGAUGUGGCUUAAAUGAGAGUUUUCCAAGGGAAAUUAGGUAAGCGAUUCCCAAAGUUCUAAGGGAUGUCAUUGCUCUUAAAAAAAAAAAAAAAUUAAAACUCAGUAGGUUUCUGUAGUGCAGGACUUAUCAAAGCCUGUAAAAGCACUGAUGGGAAUACUCAAGGACAGACAGAGGACUAAGUAUUUUCCCCCAAGCUUUACUGGCAACAAAACCCUUUUCUUAUGGAGCAUCAUUUAGAACCGCAGAGAGUCCAGGCUGGGGUUUCCGUGGGAGAAUGAUAACCGUGAUAGGAGAUGACAAAACUAGGGCACACUCAGGGGCUCCGGAGCAGCGGCUGGCAAGGCAGCGCUUUCCCUGGGCCGGUGAGUCAGACUCGGCUGCAGGAGUCAGGGGAGCUCUACUUGGCUGGAGCGUUUGUGGAAAGGGCCGGCCAGCUGCUGGGGUAGCCGGAUGCCUGGCGGUGGGGGACAGAGGGAGCUGUCCACUGGAGCCAGUGACUCUGGGGUAUCAGACCUCUUGUGAGAAGAUGCUGGUAUGUGCGUGUGUGCGUGUGCCUGAGUGUGACAGGAUCCAGCCUUCUGGGAAGCAGUGACCAGGACCAGGCAGGGGGUCUUUCCAGCCAGGACCAGCAGGGUCCAUUUUCGGGGGAUCUGAAGUGGCUGGGGGAGGGGCCCUGAGGACCACCGACGAGAAGCAGGGACGCCGAUUCUUUUGGGCAGGGUUCACGUGGACAGUCUUAUCCCGGGGGCGGGGCUGAGGCACUGGCGGCAGACCCCCUGCCCUGGUCAGGCCCGGCUCCCUGGCUGGCGGGGGCGGGCGGCCUCUGGAGAUGCGGCUGGGGCAGUGUUGCAUGGUGGGAUUAACCUACUAACCCAGGGCUCGGCCGGGACGCUGUGGCCUGUGGCGAGGUGCCUGGCCUUCUGCCAACCAACUAACCCACUAACCAGGCCCGAGCAUGCCCUACUAACCACCGCCCCCCCCCCGCCCCCCCGCCCCUCGCAGCCAGAUCCUACUAACCUCGCAGCUCACGGGCCUUCCCAGGGGUGGGGAUGUGGGGGCAGACGAGGCUCCGGAAGGCCCUGCCCGUGGCCUGGGAUCUCUGUGCAGACCCACAUUCCAGGACCGGGCGUGCAAACAGGACUUGCCAACUCUGCCGCUUCCUGCUUGGGGUGGGGGGGGGGGUGGGGGGCGGCGACUGGGAGAGCGAGUCACCCCGCCUCUCUGAGUCCGUUUCCUCGGCAGUGGAAUGGGAGGCCGCCUCCCGGGUGGCCGUGAGCAUUCCCAGGAGGAUAGAAUUCUUGACACAUGGCAGAUACUUAAUCCACAUUUAUGCGAGGUGGGGGCGGGAGGCCCAGAAAACUGGACCCAUCGGGUCCCCUGGCAGGCCCUGGUCCCUCUAGGUGGUUUGCACACAGACCCCUCUGCCUGGGGCCAGACACUUGCUUUGAACCCUUAACUGUGUCUUUCCCCACACUCUUCCUCUCCUCAGCUUUUUCCCUAUAGGCAGUUCUUUUGUUCAAUUACUAACUCGUCUAACCCCGGGGCGGGGGGGGCCUCAACUGCACCCCGACCACCCCCCCUAACCAACUAACGGACCCGAGUGUGUUCUUCCUUUUCUCCUAGCGAUUCCCGUGUGUGUCUGCUGAGGUGCCCCUGUCCGCUGGUGCUGUGCUCUGACUUACUAACCCAGUCCCUACUAACCCUCUUUUCUCUUCUUACUAACCCCAGCCCUGCCGAGCUCUGGGCCCCCGUGGGGGGGGAUAGUUCCCCCCUCCUUUUGGCAAGCAGACGUCCUAGGCUGGUCCUGCAGACAGAUGCCCUACUUUGCUGCCCCGAUUGGCUGUGAGUUCAGAGUCCCCUGGGUCAGGUCUGAGGGGGGCGAAGGCCCGGAGGAAGAGGGGCUCCUGCGGUUCUAGAGGGAGGCCGGCCUCUGAGCACAGCGUCUCUCCUCUGCGCAGAGUCUGGGGGCCACUGGGAGUUGGCCGGAGCAGGGCAACCUCUGUGGUGUGAAGGUGGAGGCCUGCAGGUCUCCUUCCAGCCAAGGGAGAGGAGAGAAGGGGCCUCUGGGUCGUCCUUCCCAGGGAAGUGGGGGCAGAGGUUCUUACUGGGCAAGUGGCUGAUAGAGGCGGGGCGCCACUGAGGGGCGUGUCCUGCACAGGAAGUCAACAAAGGGGGCGUGUCCCUCAAGGGAGUUAGUAAAGGGGCUUGUCCCUCGCCGGAUGUCAGUAAGUGAUGACUUCCUCCGCACUGGAAGUCACUGAAAGGGUCUUAACCGCGGUGGAAAUCACUGAGGGCAGCGUUUGGUAUAGGAAGUCAGACAAAGGGGGCAUUUCCUAUAUUUGAAGAAUGGGAAGAGGGGUAUUUGUUACACCGUUAGUCAGUGAGAGGGGGAUUUCUGCAUUAUCGCAAGGCGGUGAAGAGGAGUGACCAAAGAGAUGAGUGACGGGGGCCGUUCAAACGACAGGGAGUUAGCUAGAGGGGCCCUUCUCCACCCAUGGAGCUGCGAGAUCCGGUUUCCCACGCCAGAAGUAGGUGUGGUCCAUUUUCCCUACGGAUGCCUUUGAGAAGGGCAGUCCACACUGGGAAGGGCAGUCCACACUGGGAAGCUUGAGAAAACAGCAGAUCUGAAGUUUGUGAGGAAAGCAGGUCUUGGGCAGGGGGUCUGCGGGAGAAAGUGGGAAGCAACCAAUGAACCCCCGGCGCCCACAGGGCCCUGCACGCCUUGGGCCAGUCAGAAAUUCACCCUGGCUCCUUGUUCUUUUCACCCCCAUGUCCCUGCCCCAGCCUGUCUACCCCAGAGCCCGCCAGCCGCUAAGCCAGGGCCACACCUGGGGGUGAUUUUAUGCCUCACCUCCAGUAGGCACCUUGGUCUCUUUGGGCUAAUCUCUGGCUCCUCUGCACUAACUCUUGCUCCCACCCAGCUAAUCCUUGCCUCGCCCUGGCUGCCCCAGGGGCUGACCAUUAACAGCCAGCCCAUCUUGGGGGGCUCCAGGCUCCUGGCCUGGCUCUGACCUGCUCUUAAUUAACCUCUCCUUCACCUGACUAACUCCUGCCCCCUGAUCUGUUCCUCUCAGCAGAAACUAACGGCUUGUGGAUUUCUUUCUGACUAACAACAGGUCUAACACUCCUCGUCACUAUUACUAUUAACAGCUUGGAUGUCGGCAUGGCUGGGACUUGACUAACACGGGGAGAGGCGGAGCUAGUCGUGUGGGCCGUGGUGACGGCUCUGGGGAAGAGCCAGCUGAAGUCAGGAAGACCUCGGUGCUCAAAAGGAGAUGCUGGGGCUGGGCUGUGGCUCAGGCCGAAUGGAGGAGUGGUGUCUGCUGUGGGGCGGGUGGGGUGGUGGUGGGUGGUCAGAAGCAUACUCAGCCUUCCAAGAUUUUGGCCGCUAGACAUAUCCUAUUAACCCCUUAUAACCUGCAUUCAUAUUCUGGUUCUUUUAUACAAUAGCCUGAUAGUUGUAUUAGUGCCUGCAGCUUUUGUAGCCCCCCACCCCCGCCCCAAAGGCCUGUCUAGUGUGUAGAGAGGAGAUGCCAUUGGAGUCAUCAGUCACCAGCUGAGAGUCUAGAGUCCUUGAUUUGGGGACUUCAGAGUUUGGAAGCCUUAAGACAGAAAACUUCAGGUUACAACCCCAUCACCCACUGACACCUUGGUGUCAAUUAGCUCAGCUUUCUCUUCGAACUUCUGUGCAACCAGCUGCCCUGGGAGGACCAGAAUGUGGCUGGAGGGGAGUCUCUUCAGGGCUGGGGGAGGCUCUGGGAACAGAGGAGAAGCUUGAGUCCGGGGGUUCCUGGGUGGGUGUAAGAGGGGAAACCAGGAGGCUGGGGAGGGGGGAUAAGAGGGGCUGUUUUGCUGGUUUUGUCUGGUAGUCAGGGUCUGUGGGAGAGGACAGCUUAUAGCAGAGCCUGGAGGAUUGGAUCAGCUCAGGGGCAGGGUCAGAGUCCUGCCUGGAGGCUUUGCGGGCAGUUUGCUUGAGUCAUUGAAUGCUGCUGUGGGGUUGAGAGCCUCUCUGACAGUCACAGACUCAGAGCUAAACUUGUGGAGCCGCUGGUGAGGUCUGAAGGGUGAUCCAGAGGCCUGAGCUGCAAAGGGAAGGCGAGAGGACACAUCAGAACCUGGGAAGAGGGGGAGCCUGCACAGAGGAAGCACAUGCCUGCUGCCCUCUAGUGGCCGCCUCGCUUCAUUUCACUGGUAACAUUUCCCAUUCUGGGGGGGCCUCUUUAUUCAACUGCAAAGACCUGAUGAUGCUGAGGACCUACUAUGUGCCCGGCACUGCUCUGGGUCUUGGACCCACGCACAGGUUUUUCCAUAGUGCUUGAUUAGCUUGGUGGGGGAGACAGAAAUAAAACAGGUAAUGCAGUGAGGUGGGCACCAUGAUAGGGGUGAUGGGCCUGUGGAAGUGCCCAGGAGGCAAAGGAUGAGAAACACCUGCUGUGUGCCAGGGGCGGUGCUAGGCAUCAGGGAUGAGUGGUGAUUAAACAUCAUACAACCUUCAGGAGCUUUAAUGCUAGCGUAUUAAAGCAUUAUUAAGCUUUAAUGCUAUGCUUAGAGCGGGUGUGGGGUAGAGUGGGCUGUGGGCCACCAGUAGAUUUUCUGAAGAGGAAGGCAUCUGAGCAGAGUCCUGGCUGGGCAGAAUGUGGUGGCGAGAAGGGAGGACACAGAGUUCUGGGGGUCAGAGAGGACUGAAGAAGUUCUGGAAGUGUUGUAGGGGACGAAGCGGGAGACAGAGGGGAAGUGGACACAUACCAGAUGGUAUUGCCAGGGAGUUUAUCCUAAGGGCAAUGGUGGGGGUGGUGGGGUGGGGGUGGUUGUGGAUGUGAUCUGAGGAGGGGAGAUGUUAGAUUUCAGUUCUAGGCUGACAACGUGACUGUUUCAGCCUAGGUGGAAUUCUGAGAUGCUGGUAACAUGUUCUCGCCAAAUUUUAGGAAACUGGUUAGAACUUCUGGAAAGGUGGUGGAUCCUCAGAUCCAUCUUAAGAUAAAGAGGGCCGUGUUCCUGCCAGGCAGGGGCCUGGCCGAGGGGACAGACAGGUUGGAGGAACAGUCUUAAAAUCAUGUCGUCCCAAGCCCCUGGAAUGGUCAUGCUGGUCUGGGGGAAGACCUGAGGGGACGUGGUCCUGGGGCUGGAAGUCCACAGGCGAGUCUCACUGGAGAGGGACCCUGUUAGUCCCGUGUGGCUGCAAGGGACAUGCAGGCUUGGAGGAAGCUUCCAAGAGGCUGGUCCCAGGGAGGGAAAAAUGUGUCUUGCUGGGUAAUAAACCUUAUGGAGACAGAAGGAUUGGGAGUAGGCCACCUUUGAGACUGAGGAUGGUGGUGGGAUUCUGGGAUUCUGUGUGUGAGUGUGUGUGUGUGUCCUUGACUUACUACUAGAGCAAGCCGAGCCCAGGAAGGCAAUUCUGUUCUCCACCCCAGAGCCCGGCCUGCCAAUGCUCACUCUGGCCUGGAUUCCUCUGAGCAUCGAGCUCGCUGGGAGCUGUACCUCAGGAGCCCGGGAGCUGGCCUCCCAGCUGGAAGAGGCGACUCAAUCCUUUAACAGCCAGUGUGGAGGGAGAGGCCACGGUGGUCCCUGCUGGGGGCUGUGCUUGCGUAGAUAUUGAUAUUGCACACACUGAGCUGGGGGAUUCCCUGGGGGGGACUGGUCCCAUCCCCACAAAAGACCCCAAAGGCCCUCUUGAGCAUCUACCCAGGGAACCCACUGUUUUGCUUGAAGAGACCAGAGAGGAUGCUUUCCAUGUCACUGCCUCCCGGGGAUGCAAACUGUGGGGAUGGAAAUUCUGCUGUUGAUUAAACAUACUUUUAUGUGUAUCCAGCAAUGAAGUGUGAACUUGGCCUUUUGCUUUCACCCAUAAAUGCAGCUUCGUUAGUGGAAAAGACCAUUUUGAUAUUAAAAACUAAUUCAUACGCAGAGGAUCACUGUGGCUUAAAAGGAGUGUGUAAUUUGUGGGGAGGGGGAACCAGUGGCAUUUUCCAGGAACCAGAGUGGACUCUGCUAAUCUUUUCUCAAGACUGUGCCCUUAAAAGCCAAUACAAUAUAGAUUUCAUUUGUAAUUGUGGGAAAAUACACAUUAACCAAGUUUUCAACCCUAACCAUUUUUAGGUCUACGGCAGUGGCAGCAGG